ACAACAUUUGGACCGUCAGUCUACCGAGCAAUACCAUCCGCAAGGUGGAAGAUCUUCCCUUCUGUCGU
rnacentral:pre_miRNA from 1 species